AAUUAACGCUGGCGGCAUGCCUAACACAUGCAAGUCGAGCGAGAAACCGCCCUUCGGGGUGGGAGUACAGCGGCGCACGGGUGAGUAACGCGUGGGUAAUCUGCCUCUAUCUGGGGGAUAACACAUCGAAAGGUGUGCUAAUACCGCAUAAACCGGCGAAUCUGCGGAUAAGUCGGCAAAGGUGGCCUCUUCUUGAAAGCUGCCGGAUGGAGAUGAGCCCGCGUCCCAUUAGCUUGUUGGUAGGGUAACGGCCUACCAAGGCGACGAUGGGUAGCUGGUCUGAGAGGACGGCCAGCCACACUGGAACUGGAACACGGUCCAGACUCCUACGGGAGGCAG
rnacentral:rRNA from 1 species